rnacentral:rRNA from 1 species
GAUGAACGCUGGCGGCGUGCCUAAUACAUGCAAGUCGAGCGAACAGACGAGGAGCUUGCUCCUCUGACGUUAGCGGCGGACGGGUGAGUAACACGUGGAUAACCUACCUAUAAGACUGGGAUAACUUCGGGAAACCGGAGCUAAUACCGGAUAAUAUAUUGAACCGCAUGGUUCAAUAGUGAAAGACGGUUUUGCUUUCACUUAUAGAUUGAUCCGCGCCGCAUUAGCUAGUUGGUAAGGUAACGGCUUACCAAGGCAACGAUGCGUAGCCGACCUGAGAGGGUGAUCGGCCACACGGGAACUGAGACACGGUACAGACUCCUACGGGAGGCAGCAGUAGGGAAUCUUCCGCGAUGGGCGAAAGCCUGACGGAGCAACGCCGCGUGAGUGAUGAAGGUCUUCGGAUCGUAAAACUAUGUUAUUAGGGAAGAACAAAUGUGUAAGUAACUAUGCACGUCAUGACGGUACCUAAUCAGAAAGCCACGGCUAACUACGUG